ACGCCAUGAUGUGGACAUUUUCUCAAAAGUCCUUUAAAUCUUUCCCAGGCCUCAUAAACUGAUUCUGCAUCGAAUUGAGAGAAGUUAUUGAUUUCUUGUCUCAAUUU